ACGUUACCAGGCAACGAACGUAAAUUUACACACGUGACAGCCGCCCUCCUAAUGACUCAAAACAAACCUCCACUCCACUUUGAGGAUAUUAUUUUGUUUCUGCAGCACAGAGAACGCUCGAUCAUGCCUAAAUGUAGGUUACAAGUCGCUCUCUUUGGAAGGCUGAAACACUGUUUACCUUUCGGGUCCAGCUCCACGUGGAUGAUGUUUCCCAUAACAGACGUGUCGUGGAGUGACUGCACGGCCAAUUUGGCGGCUUUCACGUUCUCAAAAACAACUUUGGCAAUUCCCAAGUGCUUUUUAUUCUUCGGAUUAUACAAGAUCUCCACCUGCUCGAUGUCUCCGUAUUUCUUGCACAUGUCGUGCUCGGGCAAUUGGCUGGUUAACAGCGGCAGCUCAGCGGGCCAAUCAGAGCGCAGCAGCAGUGGAGCUGUCUGCUAUUAGAAGCACGGCUCAGGAGUCCUUCAACAGAGAGCAGAGAGAGGGGGCUGAGCGCUCUCGGCAGCCAUUUUCCUAAAACAGGACUCAAUGGCCUAUAUGGGUUUCCUUUGUUCCAAAAGGGAUCUUUACACUUGAUUUCCUCAUCUCUCACGGACUAUGAUAAAACUAUGAUUCCUCCUUUUAAAGGAUUGAGAAGAAGGAAGAGAAUGUACUGGAUGUAAUACCCUGUGACAUUUUGAGCCUUUUUUCCUCUGCCUGGAAUCCAUCUUUGUCUUAACUAGGUCAUGGCACACCCAUAUAAUUAUAUUUCUUGAGUAAAAAAGAAAUCAAAUGUUUUGAAUAAACAGCAUUAUUGUUUUGGAGAUGUAACUAAAGGAAAAACACAGUGACAGUGAGAAUGUGUAAUGACUGGUUGUGGGCAUUGCACUUAUGGCCUUGUAGGAUAAGAGUAGCAAUGAGUAAGUUCAACUCUUUUAUCAUUCUAAAAGUUUUGAUAAUGUAUCCAUGUAACUGUGAGGCAUGCAAGUACUGUAAGUAAAAUUAUUUCCUGUCAUUUUAUUCAUUGAGCUAUCACUUUAAUCAAAGAAAUGUUGGCACCUAAAAAAGCCUCCUUAGUUAAUAUGUUCACUGCAUGCUGAUAUAUAAAGUAUAAAUCUCACAGUACAGAUCAGACCUAACUCCACAAAUGACAGAAAGCAGGCCAUGGACAUCUAAUGGCAUAUUGUAAAUUAGUUUACUGUGCUGCUUGUAGUUCUGACUGUUGAUUGAUAACCCUAUUUCUUUGAUUAAUGACUUUAAACAUGUCCUCUCACUACAGCAACGUUUAACACCCUGGUGGCUUGUGCUGUACCCUACCUACAGCUGUGGAGACAACCUCAAGCACGAUUAGGUUUGUGCUGUCCAUUUGCCAUUUAAGAACCAAAUGCAUCCAAAGUGUAAACGUCUGGCUUGACCUUGCUUCGAUGGCAUAUUUAAAUGUCUAAAUAAGCCUAUUCAAGUGGCCCUUUAGCGUUUUGUACAGUUAAAAAAAUAGACCGUCACACAGAGGAAGCAGAUGGAGGGAAAGCUCUUAUGUUAAAAAAUAUUUACCUCAGCACUUUGGUGAAAUGCAGUUAACAGGCCUAAACGCAGGGACAGGAGGACUGUUUUCAGCUCCAUCUUCGGAUCCUUUAAUAAUGGCAUUAAUAAGGGGUGGGAAAGCGUCUCCUGCAAAGGAAGGAAUCCAUUAGCACGAAAGAAAGCUCUUUUGAAAACUUUUUGAUCAGUGGCAGCAGGCAUUGCUUCUCAGCCAGCGAAUAUGCAUCUUCAAGCAUCAUCUGUGUGGGCAAUAUGCAAACCAUCUCCUCUCUCUCCUUGAAGACAGGAUUGCAGUCAAGCAUAAGCCUCUUCUAUUUCGACAUUUCUAACUGAGCAGCAUCACAUAAAAACAAAAGGAAAUGUUUUUGUCGAAAGGUAAUGGAUUUUUUAAAGCUAUUUCACUUUAACAGUUAUAUGCCUACGUGUCAUAUAACAGCACAGACAACACGAACGACAAUUAAUCUUGGUUAAAACGUUAUUAUCAGAACAAGGCUGUAUUAUUGUGUGCAAUUUUACUUUAAAAAACACAUUUUGUGAUAUUGCAAACUUACAGUUCGUAUAGAAAUACAUGUAAUCCAACUAUUAAACGAGUAAAUAAUUUUCAUAGGGAUACUUUUAUAUAUAUUUACUACUUCCCUUUUCGAAAAAUAACUAUAGGUGUUAGAAAUCUACUCUUGCACUGUGGUUUCUCUGCUGUUCUCUGUCUCAAAAUGGCUUCUUUACAGACAAAGGGGAGCAGUGUGCUGUAUAAUGUUGCUGCGCCAUAACUGGGUGAGGCUCGUUCACUCGAAGAGAGGAUAUUUUUUCGGAGGACGUUUUCUUUGCUGAUUCAUCUGGCAGUGUUUAAAGCGACCGACACAUGCAGCGGGAUUUUACUCGGUUUUGUAGGUUUCCUGAGAAGUCGUCUUAAAUAAGAAGAAAAACAGUGGACGGUGCUUGUGUGGAAUGAAACGUUCACAGGGUUGCGUAUUCAGGCUGACGCGCCCUAACGACGGUAAUCCCAGAGCUCUGGACGUUUGCCAUGAGAGCUCGAGCGAGUUGAUGCACCCCCACACUGCCAUAUAAGGUCAUGAGGAAUCUGCGGUGGUUUGUAUCCGGGCGAAAAUAACACAGGGGUGCCUCAGACUGCUGUGUGCGCUCUCUCGUUCCAGAAUACAGUCGAUGGUUGAGUUUGCACUCAGAUUUGAAACAACAAACUAAGACACGUUUCUGUAUUUUAUUCGAUAAAGGAGUUAUAAAUAGACGAUGGGGGAGACUUAAUUUGUGUAAGUUAAUAAGCUCUUCUUGUGCGCCACUUGGUUGGACUCAUUUUCAGCUGUGCGCGUGUGUGGUGUGAGUGAGGACAGCUGGUGUGUCGGGCCUGUUUUUCCAGUUAUCCACUCUGCCAAGGGCGCGCACUCCUCCAUUAGCUGGUCACGAGGCUGCAAACAGCAUUCCUUCAUCUAUCUUUCCUUUAUGCUACAACAUUCUUAGUUUAACGGAGAUAACAUUAUGAAGUAACUUUUGGGUGCGUAGAAGAUGUGGUUUUGAGAAACAUUUUGCGUUCAAAUCAGUGAGGGUAUUUAUAGGCCUUUGUUUCGAGGUUAAAAAAACAACCUCCCCUGUGGGUUGCGCCAUUCAGCUUUGCGCGCGGCAGACAGACUGGAAUAUUCCACACAGAGGAUUGGCCUCUCUUCAUCUGGACAGCUGUUUCUGCACGACGACAAACUUUAAAACCAUUUUUAAACUAUUUAAGCUUUGAUUACAAUUGAUGAACAUGGCUUACACACUUAUGGACAUUUCUUACACCUACAGGAUCCUUUUAUAGGCUACCUUGUUUUAAAUAGGCUGCCAGUUUCAUGCCAAGUAAAAAAAAAACAAAAAAAAAACACUUUAGAAUCUUUAUUAAACCUUUUUAUAUCGUUUGCAACUCCACACGGUAUUGUGGAAGCAUACAGGGCAUUAGAGAACGGUUUGUAUAUUCCUGAGGAGCCAGAGUAAUCUGGCACACUGCUACAUGACAUUUUCUCUCUGUAUUUCUUUGUGUCCAGGCUGAAGGAUUGUUCAAUGGAUUAAACCUGGUGUCUUCUUCGCUUUGUAUUUAAUGAUUAUUUAUAUUGGCUUAUCCAAGGAUUCAUGAAGCAGAUUGGUGGUACUGUACUCCUUGGUUUUCCUUCCUCCUUGCUCUUUACAUCUUUGCAUGUCUAAUAUAUAAUCAACUAUAUUUCAGUGUCAUUUAGUCACUAUUUUAUCAUCUGUCUGUUUUUAUGAUACAUUUAAAUAAAUAUUAUUUACAUACA